rnacentral:rRNA from 1 species
UGGGGGGAUAUUGCACAAUGGGGGGAACCCUGAUGCAGCAACGCCGCGUGAAUGAUGAAGGUCUUCGGAUUGUAAAAUUCUGUUCUUGGUGAAGAUAAUGACGGUAGCCAAGGAGAAAGCUCCGGCUAACUACGUGCC